GACGAACCGUGCGAACGUUAUUCGGAAUCACUGGGCUUAAAGCGCGUGUAGGCGGAUGGGAACGUCGGUGACUGAAAGCCCCCGGCUCAACCGGGGAAGUGGUGCCGAAACGACCCGUCUGGAGGGACGUAGGGGGACCUGGAACUUCCGGUGGAGCGGUGAAAUGCGUUGAGAUCGGAAGGAACGCCCGUGGCGAAAGCGAGGUCCUGGACGUCUUCUGACGCUGAGACGCGAAAAGCUAGGGGAGCGAACGGG
rnacentral:rRNA from 1 species